UACGAAGGGGGCUAGCGUUGCUCGGAAUCACUGGGCGUAAAGGGCGCGUAGGCGGUUUGUUAAGUCGGUCGUGAAAGCCCGGGGCUCAACCCCGGAGGGUCGACCGAUACUGGCAGACUAGAGUACAGAAGGGGCAACUGGAAUUCUCGGUGUAGCGGUGAAAUGCGUAGAUAUCGAGAGGAACACCUGCGGCGAAGGCGGGUUGCUGGGCUGACACUGACGCUGAUGCGCGAAAGCUAGGGGAGCGAACGGG
rnacentral:rRNA from 1 species